AAUCAUAUGUGAUUUCUUAGAUCGUUGCGUCCCUUCGGGGAUGUUUGGAUAACUGUGGCAAUUCUAGAGCUAAUACAUGCAAUCAAGCUCCAACCUUCGUGGGACGAGCGCUCUUAUUAGACCAAGGCCAACCUGCUGGGCAACUGGCAGUUAGCUGUGGUGACUCUGGAUAAACAUAGUUGAUCGCACGACUUUACGUCGGCGACGUAUCUUUCAAGCGUAUGCCCUAUCAGCUGUCGACGGUAGGGUAGCGG
rnacentral:rRNA from 1 species